GAUGAACGCUGACAGAAUGCUUAACACAUGCAAGUCGAUGGGGAAGUGGUGCUUGCACCAUGGCAACCAUGGCGGACGGGUGAGUAACGCGUAAGGGACUUACCUGCAGGACUGGGAUAACAGGGGGAAACUCCUGACAAGACCGGAUAAUGUCAUGGAGCUGCAUGACUUUAUGAUGAAAGGAGACGCCUGCGGAGAGCCUUGCGUCCUAUUAGCUAGUUGGUGAGGUAAUGGCUCACCAAGGCGAAGAUAGGUAGCCGGCCUGAGAGGGUGGACGGCCACAAGGGGACUGAGAUACGGCCCUUACUCCUACGGGAGGCAGCAGUGGGGAAUAUUGGACAAUGGGGGCAACCCUGAUCCAGCAAUUCUGUGUGCACGAAGAAGGUUUUCGGAUUGUAAAGUGCUUUCAGCAGGGAAGAAGUAAGUGACGGUACCUGCAGAAGAAGCGACGGCUAAAUACGUG
rnacentral:rRNA from 1 species